rnacentral:rRNA from 1 species
AUUGAACGCUGGCGGCAUGCCUUACACAUGCAAGUCGAACGGCAGCACGGGGCAACCUGGUGGCGAGUGGCGAACGGGUGAGUAAUGCAUCGGAACGUACCUUUCAGUGGGGGAUAACGUAGCGAAAGUUACGCUAAUACCGCAUAUUCUGUGAGCAGGAAAGCAGGGGAUCGCAAGACCUUGCGCUGAUUGAGCGGCCGAUGUCAGAUUAGCUAGUUGGUGAGGUAAAGGCUCACCAAGGCGACGAUCUGUAGCGGGUCUGAGAGGAUGAUCCGCCACACUGGAACUGAGACACGGUCCAGACUCCUACGGGAGGCAGCAGUGGGGAAUUUUGGACAAUGGGGGCAACCCUGAUCCAGCCAUGCCGCGUGAGUGAAGAAGGCCUUCGGGUUGUAAAGCUCUUUCGGCCGGGAAGAAAUCGCACGGGCUAAUACCCUGUGUGGAUGACGGUACCGGAAUAAGAAGCACCGGCUAACUACGUGCCAGCCGCCGCCGUAAGAC